CUGGCUCAGGAUAAACGCUGGCGGCGCACAUAAGACAUGCAAGUCGAACGAACUUAACCUUAGUUUACUAAUGGAGCGGUUAGUGGCGGACUGGUGAGUAACACGUAAGCAACCUGCCUAUCAGCGGGGAACAACAGUUAGAAAUGACUGCUAAUACCGCAUAUGCCUUGAAUAUCACAUGAUAUAAAGGGAAAGGAGCAAUCCGCUGAUAGAUGGGCUUGCGUCUGAUUAGAUAGUUGGUGGGGUAACGGCCUACCAAGUCGACGAUCAGUAGCCGGACUGAGAGGUUGAACGGCCACAUUGGGACUGAGAUACGGCCCAGACUCCUACGGGAGGCAGCAGUCGGGAAUAUUGCGCAAUGGAGGAAACUCUGACGCCAGUGACGCCGCGUGCAGGAAGAAGGUUUUCGGAUUGUAAACUGCUUUAGACAGGGAAGAACAAGGACAGUACCUGUAGAAUAAGCUCCGGCUAACUACGUGCCAGCAGCUGC
rnacentral:rRNA from 1 species